rnacentral:rRNA from 1 species
CCUACGGGUGGCAGCAGUGAGGAAUAUUGGUCAAUGGGCGGAAGCCUGAACCAGCCAAGUAGCGUGCAGGAUGACGGCCCUACGGGUUGUAAACUGCUUUUAUACGGGAAUAACGCGCCUUACGUGUAGGGCUUUGCAUGUACCGUAUGAAUAAGGACCGGCUAAUUCCGUGCCAGCAGCCGCGGUAAUACGGAAGGUCCGGGCGUUAAUCGGAAUUACUGGGCGUAAAGCGCUCGUAGGCGGUAUGUCAAGUCAAGGGUGAAAUCCCCGCGCUCAACGUGGGAACUGCCUUUGAAACUGGCAAACUGGAGGGUGUGAGAGGAUAGUGGAAUUCCAGGUGUAGGAGUGAAAUCCGUAGAUAUCUGGAGGAACAUCAGUGGCGAAGGCGACUAUCUGGCACAUAACUGACGCUGAGGAGCGAAAGCGUGGGUAGCAAACAGGAUUAGAUACCCCAGUAGUC